rnacentral:rRNA from 1 species
GAUGAACGCUGGCGGCGUGCCUAAUACAUGCAAGUCGAGCGAACGGACGAGAAGCUUGCUUCUCUGAUGUUAGCGGCGGACGGGUGAGUAACACGUGGAUAACCUACCUAUAAGACUGGGAUAACUUCGGGAAACCGGAGCUAAUACCGGAUAAUAUUUUGAACCGCAUGGUUCAAAAGUGAAAGACGGUCUUGCUGUCACUUAUAGAUGGAUCCGCGCUGCAUUAGCUAGUUGGUAAGGUAACGGCUUACCAAGGCAACGAUGCAUAGCCGACCUGAGAGGGUGAUCGGCCACACUGGAACUGAGACACGGUCCAGACUCCUACGGGAGGCAGCAGUAGGGAAUCUUCCGCAAUGGGCGAAAGCCUGACGGAGCAACGCCGCGUGAGUGAUGAAGGUCUUCGGAUCGUAAAACUCUGUUAUUAGGGAAGAACAUAUGUGUAAGUAACUGUGCACAUCUUGACGGUACCUAAUCAGAAAGCCACGGCUAACUACGUGCCAGCAGCCGCGGUAAUACGUAGGUGGCAAGCGUUAUCCGGAAUUAUUGGGCGUAAAGCGCGCGUAGGCGGUUUUUUAAGUCUGAUGUGAAAGCCCACGGCUCAACCGUGGAGGGUCAUUGGAAACUGGAAAACUUGAGUGCAGAAGAGGAAAGUGGAAUUCCAUGUGUAGCGGUGAAAUGCGCAGAGAUAUGGAGGAACACCAGUGGCGAAGGCGACUUUCUGGUCUGUAACUGACGCUGAUGUGCGAAAGCGUGGGGAUCAAACAGGAUUAGAUACCCUGGUAGUCCACGCCGUAAACGAUGAGUGCUAAGUGUUAGGGGGUUUCCGCCCCUUAGUGCUGCAGCUAACGCAUUAAGCACUCCGCCUGGGGAGUACGACCGCAAGGUUGAAACUCAAAGGAAUUGACGGGGACCCGCACAAGCGGUGGAGCAUGUGGUUUAAUUCGAAGCAACGCGAAGAACCUUACCAAAUCUUGACAUCCUUUGACAACUCUAGAGAUAGAGCCUUCCCCUUCGGGGGACAAAGUGACAGGUGGUGCAUGGUUGUCGUCAGCUCGUGUCGUGAGAUGUUGGGUUAAGUCCCGCAACGAGCGCAACCCUUAAGCUUAGUUGCCAUCAUUAAGUUGGGCACUCUAAGUUGACUGCCGGUGACAAACCGGAGGAAGGUGGGGAUGACGUCAAAUCAUCAUGCCCCUUAUGAUUUGGGCUACACACGUGCUACAAUGGACAAUACAAAGGGCAGCGAAACCGCGAGGUCAAGCAAAUCCCAUAAAGUUGUUCUCAGUUCGGAUUGUAGUCUGCAACUCGACUACAUGAAGCUGGAAUCGCUAGUAAUCGUAGAUCAGCAUGCUACGGUGAAUAGCGUUCCCGGGUCU